rnacentral:rRNA from 1 species
UACGGGGGGAGCAAGCGUUGUUCGGAUUUACUGGGCGUAAAGGGCGCGUAGGCGGUCGUGACAAGUCACUUGUGAAAUCUCCGGGCUUAACUCGGAACGGUCAAGUGAUACUGUCGGACUAGAGUACAGAAGGGGCAACUGGAAUUCUCGGUGUAGCGGUGAAAUGCGCAGAUAUCAGGAGGAACACCGAUGGCGAAGGCAGCUCGCUGGGACGGUACUGACGCUGAGGCGCGAAAGCGUGGGGAGCAAACAGG